rnacentral:lncRNA from 1 species
UUUAGCAUGUGUUUUGACGAACGAAUAUCAAGAAGCAAACGAAGCACCUGUGUCAUAACCUGUGUCGUUAUUCAUAAAUAUUAUUUUCUUUUUAUUUGAUCUUAUUUAAAGUUAUUAUUAUUUAUAUAUAUUAUUAUAUUUAUCGUUAUUUUUCGUAAUCUUGUUCUAUUUUAUCCCGGUUUUAUUCUUGAAAACAUGAUUGAAAUCUAAUCAAAUAUCAAGGAGAAAAAAAUUUCAUCCAUUCUCGAAACAAACACGAUCUUUGUCAAAUAUCAUUCCGAAGGAUCACACGAAACGAGAAAGAAGAAACGUAGGAUAACCAGAAGCAGGGGUGUGGAAUUGGAAAAGCGAUUAAAAAUAUUGACGAGUUUUUCAACUUCGCCGAGGAUGAUGAAGCGAAGCUGCAGAAUGGAAUAUUUAUCGAAACAAAAUAUUUAAGGUUACCUCCAAAUUUCUCCAAUUUCCCAUUUCUUAUUUAAAUUGCUGAAGAAACGAGAUGGAGUAUUUCGAGUAGUGGCGCGGCGUCGAAGUUGGGGGAAAAAGGAAGCGGACAGGGGCGGUUAGCCGGUCCGACAAAGGACGAGGAUCCCUGAGGAGGCACGGCACGAGUGGGUCAGUGACGUCGGGCACGGGACAGCUUGCAUAUCGAGGGAUCGAGGAGGGGAGGAGGGAGACAGCGGGCCCUCCUCGAAUGAUCUCGACUCGAGGGAGAGAGAGCGAGUGGAUGGAGGCGUUGGCGCGAGCGAGAGACGCGGCUGGGCCGCGGGCGAGUUGUAUAAUAUGAACGCGGCGGGCCGCGGCGCAGUUUCGGCAGGCUAUAAUCAAUUCUGAUUGCAGUCCAGCAUCGCAGCGCGAUCCACCGGCCCGAUAGCUGAGAAAAAAGUUCGCGCUUCCAACUACCGGGCUGCCCGACGUUACCAACUCCACUCCGAGAGGAACGAACCGGCGGGGUGUAUCGGCGGUUGGGGUGGAGAGAGUGGAAAAGGGAAAUUGGUUGGAGAGAUGGGAAGCGGAGGGUGUGCGAAAGAAAAAGAAGAGGAGAAAGGUGGAUAUUGGAGGAGGAGAUUGGGAAAGGGUAAAAAGGGAUAGGGGAUGAGGUGUGAAGAAGUUGGUAAAAUGGGAAGAAGGGUGUGUAGAAUAGAGAUGAAAUCAAAAAUUUGGAGAAUAGAAAGGAAAGGAUGUCCGCCUCUCAGGCUUAAAUAUCGGUACAUAUCAUUCGACUCCUGGCGAAACGUCGCUUCGGGAUAUAAUUUCUGAACGGACAUCUUUCAUACUCGGAAGCCCCGCAUUAAAACAUAUCGCAAAAUGUGCACGAAUGCUCGAAAAGCGUAGAUUCUGGAAAGAGAGAUGGAAGACGGGAAGAGAGACGAAGCAUCGACUCGGUAAAAACGCAACCGAGUUAUUUUAUUUAUCGGUUGGUCGGCAGCCAGCCUGGCUACGCCUUCGAAGUCUCGCGAGCUAUCGUUCGACACACGCGGGAAGGAAAGAGGAGGAGGCGAGGAGAGGGUCCGAGGUCCAGGCGAGGCCGGGUCCGAGUCCGUUCGGUUCUCCUCCGCCGUGCAAUGGUUCGGGGAACGGCGGAAGAAUGCAUCCAUCGGUUGUGCAUCGGUGCAACAGCAACAACGGCACAAGAGACGCGCGCUUCUUACGAGACAACCCCUUUUUUCCUCGUCCCUUCUUCCUUUCUCUCGCGCACCAGACCACGCUCGUCCGUCCGCUCUUUUUCCACGAUACCAUGAAAAGGACGAUUAAAAAGUAACAUAGUAGAGACUUUGAGGAUCAUCGUAAAACGUAUCAUCGCUUCGUGAGACGAACAUUAAUUAGCGGCACCUUACCGUUAAGUUUCUUAUACGUAUCAAGAAAGAACUUCAAGCUCGAUGAUGCAUCGCAAAGAUAUUAAACCAAACCAUCUCUGGUUUGUCCGUCAAUCUCCAGACAAACUGUCAGAAGACCCGUAUAUACACACCGAAGAUCUGCAAUUUAAGUCGGCCAAACUCGACUGACAAUACUAAGGCGCGAUUGACGUUGGAAUUAUAUAUACGUCCGAUUACAAUUUACAUUUCCUAUCUUAAUUUGCAUUUAAUAAUUAAACACGUUCAUGAGAUAUUCUUCGAGUAUAAUCGAUUAGAUGAUAAAAUUAAAAUAGUUUUAAUUUAGUUAGUUCGGCAUAGCGAUUAAUCAUUAUUUCCGCUGUUUGUUAUUUUUAAUUUUUCUUUAAUAAUUCCUACAUUUUAUAUUGAAAAGAUAUUUAUAAUUAUUCUAUGAUAUAGUAUAGGUGUUUCUUUUUAAAUUGAUAACUUUAUUAAUUUAAUAAAUAAUCGUUGUUCGCACAAGAUGCAAAGAACGAACAGAGCGAUUAAUUUUCAUUCGAACAAAGCGACGAUGGUUUUGCGGUCAUUCCCUCUUAUUGCGGAUUCAAUAUCACGCGUGCACACGCGUGAUUUAUAAUACUGAUUAAAUCCUUCGUAUUUAUCAUUUUGCCACUGUCGGCACGUGUGUAACCGGUUCUCGCUCGCGUAGCUUUUCGACAAAUUUCGUGAAAACGGCUAACGAACGAUUUCGCGGAAUCACGAUACGACAAUUAAGCGUUUUAUUAAAUAAAAUUUAUAUCCGGUAAUACCGGUAAGAAAAUUUUAUAAUUUUUGUUAAAAAUAUAUAAAAGAUCUUUAAAAUUACGUUAUUUAUUUAACACAUUUAUGUUAAUAUUAAACACUCAACAUUUUCCAAGAAUGCUUAUCUCGAUUGAUAUCUUUUCAAUUACUCGUUAAAACAAUUACGAUAAUAUAGAAUGAGACACGAAUUGUUAUUUUUCUCGUUGCUUAAUCGAAUUUAUUUAAAAUGUACAGCUUACGUUACCAGCCGCGGCACAUUUCGACAUCCGGCCACGCUUCUGAGUAACAUCAUUAUCGAUAAGAUCAAAGAAACCCGGUCUACUGGAGUUUUCAGUGGAAAGUAACCUGUCAAGUCGGUCAGUAGCGCUACAUGUUUCUACGACAAUGAAGUGUCGGACGAGUGUAACUUUAGAUGUACUCUUAAAUCCUCGAGAACGUUAGAAAAGAG